rnacentral:tRNA from 1 species
UCGUACGGUUCGUAUAUGUACGGUUCGUAUAUGUACGGUUCGUAUUCGUACGAUUCGUAUUCGUACGAUUAGAAUAUGUACGAUUCGUAUUCGUACGAU